AUGGUUCUCCAGAGAGUGGACGUUGUUCUGGCAGGCAUCGACAUCCUCCAGACGGUUAACUCGCCCACGCUCGAGUGCACGACUUAUCAGGCUGAGGUAUAUGAUCCACUACCAUCAUGGGAAAGAAAUGGUUUUAGUCCAGGGAACACUUUUGCCAAGUCUGGGCACACUCUAUAUUUAGUCAGGUGCUCUCUCUGUGCUAUUUUGGAUUCAAGAGUUAGGUGGAAACCAAGUGACGCACCUUUGAUUUGCAUUGGGUGUAGUCCAGGAAGGCUGAAUUAUGGACUGGACUACAAAGGGAACAUAUGUGGCAGCAAACAUGGCGAUCCAGAUUUGAGUGACCUGGAUUCAAAACCUUCACCUGAUUAUCAUGUAGUCCAAAAUAUUGAACUAGGAAUGAGUACAGUGAGCUGUUAUGGGAUGCCAUGGGAUUCUAGAUUACCCGAGAGUUUCAUGAUUUGGUAUCCUGGAAUACAACUCCGUAUUUUUGUUAAUUACUCAUGCCUGGGUUGCUUAAGGAGUUGCACUGGCUACGAAAAGGAUUAUAAUGUUGUAGGAAACCAGGAAGCCACAUAUUUGGUCAAGGCAGAGGCCAAGUUUACAUAUUACAUGGUGGCCUUACUAUUGUCAAUGAUGAAUUUUUUGCUAGAAAUUGUUCUGCUGUACUUGGUCGCACAAGAUUCACUGAUCAGUCAUUCUUAUGCUCAGUGCAAGAGGGCACACUUUUUGCUUCCAGGGCCAUGGCAACCAGCAAAAGAGAGAUACGAGCACGCAAGUACAGCUUGCAACGCCAUCGUCGAGCCGCCACUGAGCGCCAUCAUGCCAUUGAACAGGAUUGUGGCUUGCAGUUACAGUGUGGCGUGGUGUCUCGCUGAUGCGUCCUUGAGGCUCCUAAAGUGGUGGUAA
rnacentral:rRNA from 1 species